rnacentral:rRNA from 1 species
GAUAGAGGCCUACCAUGGUGGUAACGGGUAACGGGGUGUUAGGGCACGACACCGGAGAGGGAGCCUGAGAAACGGCUACCACAUCCAAGGAUGGCAGCAGGCGCGCAAAUUACCCAAUCCCGACACGGGGAGGUAGUGACAAUAAAUAACAAUACGGGGUUCUUUCGGAUCUCGUAAUUGGAAUGAGUACAAUUUAAAUCUCUUAACGAGGAACAAUUGGAGGGCAAGUCUGGUGCCAGCAGCCGCGGUAAUUCCAGCUCCAAUAGCGUAUAUUAAAGUUGUUGCAGUUAAAAAGCUCGUAGUUGAAUUUCGGGGUUAGUAGGUUGGUCAUGCCUCUGGUAUGUACUGGUCUCACUGAUUCCUCCUUCCUUAUGAACCGUAAUGCCAUUAAUUUGGUGUUGCGGGGAAUUUGGACUGUUACUUUGAAAAAAUUAGAGUGUUUAAAGCAAGCUAACGCUUGAAUACAUUAGCAUGGAAUAAUGAAAUAGGACGUUCGAUCUUAUUUUGUUGGUUUCUAGGAUUGACGUAAUGAUUAAUAGGGAUAGUUGGGGGCAUUAGUAUUCAAUUGUCAGAGGUGAAAUUCUUGGAUUUAUUGAAGACUAACUACUGCGAAAGCAUUUGCCAAGGAUGUUUUCAUUAAUCAAGAACGAAAGUUAGGGGAUCGAAGACGAUCAGAUACCGUCGUAGUCUUAACCAUAAACUAUGCCGACUAGGGAUCGGAUGA